UGUAGCCCUAGACCACGUCCUUUGAUAGG
rnacentral:piRNA from 1 species